UACAGAGGGGGCUAGCGUUGUUCGGAAUUACUGGGCGUAAAGGGCGCGUAGGCGGCCUGUUAAGUCGAACGUGAAAUCCCCGGGCUCAACCCGGGAACUGCGUCCGAUACUGGCAGGCUUGAAUCCGGGAGAGGGAUGUGGAAUUCCAGGUGUAGCGGUGAAAUGCGUAGAUAUCUGGAGGAACACCGGUGGCGAAGGCGGGUGUCUGGGCCGAUACUGACGCUGAGGAGCGAAAGCGUGGGGAGCGAACAGG
rnacentral:rRNA from 1 species